rnacentral:lncRNA from 1 species
GAAAGAGGCGCAGGCCUCCUGCCUGGGAUCCUCCUAAACUACUCCUGGUCGUCGUUAGCGGGCAGCACGUAGUAGUAGGCACCUCCGGUGUAGUAGGAGUCGUCGUCGACGGUGGCGUCUGGAUCCUGGGCUCCAACAUCUAGUUGCGACAACCAGGUAGAAGGGAUAGGGGGAAAAGAGGGAGAAAGCAACCGUGAGUACUCAUCCAAAGUACUCGCAAGCAAGAAGCUACACUACGUAUGCAUGGGUAUCAAAUGGAAUAAGGGUAUCAUAUAUGGACUGAACUGCAGAAUGCCAGAAUAAGAGGGAGAUAGCUAAUCCUGUCGAAGACUACGCUUCUGGCAGCCUCCGUCUUGCAGCAUGUAGAAGAGAGUAAACUGAAGUCCUCCAAGUAGCACCGUAUAGCAUAAUCCUAACCGAUGAUCCUCUCCUCGUCGCCCUGUGAGAGAGCGAUCACCGGUUGUAUCUGGCACUUGGAAGGGUGUGUUUUAUUUAGUAUCCGGUUCUAGUUGUCAUAAGGUCAAGGUACAACUCCAAGUCGUCCUGUUACCGAAGAUCACGGCUAUUCGAAUAGAUUAACUUCCCUGCAGGGGUGCACCACAUAACCCAACACGCUCGAUCCCAUUUGGCCGGACACACUUUUCUGGGUCAUGCCCGGCCUCGGAAGAUCAACACGUCGCAGCCCCACCUAGGCACAACAGAGAGGUCAGCACGCCGGUCUAAAUCCUAUGACGCAGGGGUCUGGGCCCAUCGCCCAUUGCACACCUGCACGUUGCGUACGCGGCCGGUGAGCAGACCUAGCAACCUCCAUUACAAAGGAAGUUGCGUUACGCGGUCCAACCCGGCGCGCGCCACUCAGUUGCUGACGUCACGAAGGCUUUGGCUGAUACCACGACGUCGAGUGCCCAUAACUGUCCCCGCGUAGAUGGUUAGUGCGUAUAGGCCAGUAGCCAGACUCAGAUCAAAUACCAUGAUCUCGUUAAACGUGUUAAGUAUCCGCAAACGUCGACCAGGGCCAGGCCCACCUCUCUCCUAGGUGGUCUCAACCUGCCCUGUCGCUCCGCCACAAAGUAACAGUCGGGGGCCGUCGGGAACCCAGGCUCACCUCUACCGGGAUGGAGCCACCUGCCCCUUCAGCCCCCAUCUCCGAACAGUAUCACAGGUAAUGUAACUGUGUAAAGUAUAUCGUAUAUGCCAGUGAUCACCUCCCGAAGUGAUCACGGCCCAGUAGUAUAGCAUGGCAGACGGAUAAGAGUGUAGGGCCACUGAUGGAGCACUAGCAUCCUAUACUAAGCAGUAGGAUAGCAGGUAAUGGUAACAACAGUAGUAGCAAGGACAGGCUAUGCAUCAGGAUAGGAAUAACGGAAAGCAGUAACAUGCUACACUACUCUAAUGCAAGCAGUAUAGAGAAAAGAGUAGGCGAUAUCUGGUGAUCAAAGGGGGGGCUUGCCUGGUUGCUCUGGCAAGAGAGAGGGGUCGUCGAUGUAGUCGUACUGGGUAGCAGCGGCGUCGGUCUCGGUGUCUAGCGAGAGAAGAGGGGGAAGAAACAAUAAAUAUAAUGCAAGCAUAUGCAUAGUGAUGCAUGACAUGACAAGUAACGGCGUUAGAGGUGCCCUAACGCGGUAGUAGGUGAUACCGGUGAAGGGGGAUGACAUCCGGGAAAGUAUCCCCGGUGUUUCGCGUUUUCGGACCGGUGAACCGAAGGGGGAAAGUUGCGAGUUCGAUAGGUUAGGGAUGCGUGGCGGACGAACGGGCUGCGUAUCCGGGUUCGUCUCGUCGUUCUGAGCAACUUUCACGUACAAAGUUUUUUCAUCUGAGGUACGGUUUACUUUAUAUUAAAUUUUAAAGCUUUAAAUGAUUUUUUUUUAGUUCUGAAUUUAUUAUAAUCCGAAAAUAAAAUAGGAUAUACUUUCUAUACCCAUCGUGGGCUAGCCACAGUGGAUGACAGGUGGGACCAAGGGGUCCAGUUGACUCAGUCAACACUCUAGUCAACGGUCAAUUAUUUGACUGUUAACUUGUCAAAACUGCAGAUCGGGCCCAGGCGUCAUUGACACAUAUACAACAAUUUCGUUUAAGUGGAUAAUUAGAGGGGGUCCACCUAUCAUUGACUAGUAUUUUAAUAGGUUUAUUUAACUAGUUAAUUUAGAAGUGGGGAUCCACAUGUCAUCUACUAUUAGACUAAUUAACUACUACUCCUACUAAUUAAACUACUCCUAACUAGCAUGACCGGCCACACACGGCUGUGGCACAGCUGGCCACACACACCACACAUGCACUACACACACACGCGCUGUACACACAACACAUGCAUACAUAGUGCUAGGGGUUAAUUCUGUUCUCUAUUUAGAAAAGAUAGCAUUUUGUGAUUUUUAUAGGAAUUAAUCCAUGCAUCAAAUUGAUUUGGUCCAAUGGAAACAUUUGAGCUUUGACAAGUGUACUACCUAGAAAUAUUAUUCUUGCUCCUGUUAACAGUGUUUAGCCACAGUUUAGGGGCUGUUUAGAGGGCUAGUCAGUGUAGAAAUAGAAAGCUAACUAGUAAUAGCUACAGUAGGUAGUAGCAAUAGUAGAUUCAGUAGAGCAGCAGCGGCAUGCAUACGAGCUGGGCGCGGGGCGCGGCGCUGCAUGGUGACAAGCGGCGGCAGCCGCGCGUGGGCGUGGCCUGGCUACGACGGGGCACACACGCAGGCGGGCGGAGGCGUACGCCGGCGCGGGAAGUGGCAGCAGCAUCAGCAAAUCAGCAACAACAGCGGAGCUAGCAGGGAGCAGGAACAGAGUUUUAGCGGCAGCAACGGCAACACAUGAGGCAGCGGCCACGAGCAGCAGCAGUUGCGAGGCGCGCGGCAAGAGCAGCAGUAGACGCAGGCGGGCGCGGCGCGGCCGCGCGUGGCGGCAGCAGGAGCAGCGCGAGCAAAUACUCACGCACGUAUGUACGCGUACAAGCGGACUCGGAUGAGCUCGGGACAGCAAACGGCGACCAAAUCAAGGCUGAGGAAGGGGGAAUCCGGAGGAGAAGCUCACCAAGGAGCCGGGGACGUGGUCGGGGAGGCUGGGGACGGUCGGGGUCGAGCGAAUCGACGACGGCGGCCGUCGGUGCAGGAUGUCGAAGACGAGAUCGAUGGCGGCAAAUCGGUGCGGCUCCGCUCGAUUUGACGCUCUGGAUGGACGAGGUCGACGAUGGCGAUCCUCCUGAACUCGUCGGUGCGGCGAGCGGUGGCCGGUGGCCGCGGGCUUGACGACGGCGUGGUGACGUCCCGCCCGGCCGUCAAAACAGAGAGAGGGGGAGGGGUGAGCGAGAGGCUGUGGGGAGAGCGCGAGCGAGGGGGGUCGGGGGCUAGGGUUAGAGGGAGGGGCACCGGGGUCUUGUAGGCCGGGGUCGCCGGCCGGAUGGCCGCCACGACGUCGGCCGGUG